rnacentral:rRNA from 1 species
UGGGGAAUUUUGGACAAUGGGCGAAAGCCUGAUCCAGCCAUGCCGCGUGAGUGAAGAAGGCCUUCGGGUUGUAAAGCUCUUUUAGUCGGAAAGAAAGAGUCGCAAUUAAUAAUUGUGAUUUAUGACGGUACCGACAGAAAAAGCACCGGCUAACUACGUGCCAGCAGCCGCGGUAAUACGUAGGGUGCGAGCGUUAAUCGGAAUUACUGGGCGUAAAGGGUGCGCAGGCGGUUUUGCAAGUCAGAUGUGAAAGCCCCGGGCUUAACCUGGGAAUUGCGUUUGAAACUACAAGGCUAGAGUGCAGCAGAGGGGAGUGGAAUUCCAUGUGUAGCAGUGAAAUGCGUAGAGAUGUGGAAGAACACCGAUGGCGAAAAGCAGCUCCCUGGGGUUNACACUGACGCU